rnacentral:lncRNA from 10 species
CGCCCGCCAUGAUGCCCGGCUCAUUUUCUGUGUUUUCAGUAGAGACGGGGUUUCACUGUGUUAGCCAGGAAAGUCUUGAUCUCCUGACCUCGUGAUCCUGACCUCGGCCUCCCAAAGUGCUGGGAUUACAGGCGCGAGCCACCGCGCCCGACAGCAGUUAUGAAGUUCUAAAAGCAAGUCUUAAUCAGGAAGUGUCCUUGAUCACCAACGGCUCGCCCAGGCAUGCUGGCUCUCUUCCACUUCCACCUUCCACCAUGGGAUGACGCAGUAAGAAGGCCAUCAGUAGAUGCCAGUCCCUCAACCUUGAACUUUCCAGACGCAGAACUAGUGCACUCCUUGGAAGGAAGUCACUAUAGAUAU